GACGAACGCUUGCGGCGUGCCUAAGAAAUGCAAGUCGAGCGGGGUUUAGGCUUCGGCCAAAAACCUAGCGGCGAACGGUCGCGUAACACGUAAGCAACCUGCCGGAAAGACCGGGACAACAUGCUGAAAGGCGUGCUAAUACCGGAUGUGGCCAUCUAGGGACAUCCUCGGGUGAUUAAAUCCAGCAAUGGGCGUUUCGAGGGGCUUGCGGCCUAUCAGCUAGUUGGUGGGGUAACGGCCUACCAAGGCUACGACGGGUAGCUGGUUUGAGAGAACGAUCAGCCACACUGGAACUGAGACACGGUCCAGACUCCUACGGGAGGCAGCAGUGGGGAAUCUUGCGCAAUGGGCGAAAGCCUGACGCAGCAACGCCGCGUGCGGGAUGAAGGCCUUCGUGGUUGUAAACCGCUUUCAGCAGGGACGAAAAUGACGGUACCUGCAGAAGAAGCCCCGGCUAACUACGUGCCAGCCGCCGCGGUAAGAC
rnacentral:rRNA from 1 species